rnacentral:rRNA from 1 species
AUUGAACGCUGGCGGCAUGCCUAACACAUGCAAGUCGAACGGCAGCACGGCAGUAGCAAUACUGUGGGUGGCGAGUGGCGGACGGGUGAGGAAUACGUCGGAAUCUGCCCAGUCGUGGGGGAUAACUAGCCGAAAGGUUAGCUAAUACCGCAUACGACCGAGAGGUGAAAGCGGGGGACCGCAAGGCCUCGCGCGAUUGGAUGAGCCGACGUCGGAUUAGCUAGUUGGUGGGGUAAAGGCCCACCAAGGCGACGAUCCGUAGCUGGUCUGAGAGGAUGAUCAGCCACACUGGAACUGAGACACGGUCCAGACUCCUACGGGAGGCAGCAGUGGGGAAUAUUGGACAAUGGGCGCAAGCCUGAUCCAGCAAUGCCGCGUGUGUGAAGAAGGCCUCGGUUGUAAGACGACUUUAUCUAGACGAAAGACG